GACGAACGCUGGCGGCGUGCCUAAUACAUGCAAGUCGAACGCAGUGGGGACGGGUGAGUAACACGUGGGUAACCUCCCAUCAGAGGGGAUAACACUUGGAAACAGGUGCUAAACCGAUACUGAUGGAUGUACCCGCUGUGCAGUCGCUAGUUGGUGGGGUAACGGCUCACCAAGGCCACGAUGCAUAGCCGACCUGAGAGGGUGAGCAGCCACACUGGGACUGAGACACGGCCCAGACUCCUACGGGAGGCAGCAGUAGGGAAUCUUGGGCAAUGGGCGAAAGUCUGACCGAGCAACGCCGCGUGAGUGAAGAAGGUUUUCGGAUCGUAAAGCUAUGUUGUUAGAGAAGCGGUAUCUAACCAGAAAGCCACGGCUAACUACGUGCCAGCCGCCGCGGUAAUUC
rnacentral:rRNA from 1 species